rnacentral:lncRNA from 1 species
CACCAAUCCUGAGCUAGGAGCAAGGCAUGAGUGGGUGACCAGAGCCCUUACCAAAUGUCCUUGUCAGGUGUUUGAUAUGCAGAGAGGUGAAAGAACAAGCAAAGCCAGUGGAAAAGGCAGGAGGAAAGGAUCCUGGAGGAAAUAAAGACUGCAGAGCAAAGCUCUCAACUCAUACCUGGGUCUAGGAUAAAAAUCUCUAGUAGGUCCGUUUCUCUCAUUUGUUUUCUGCGGGUCACCGAGGUCCUUUGAGUUCAUUUACAUUCCAACCAGUUUUGGAAUUAAAAUUUUUAAGGAAUAGAAUAAAAAUGUGGAUGCCUUAUAUAUUUUAAGUGAUAAUUUUUCUUUUAAAAAUAAAAUGUUGUUAAUGUGAUGCCAGUGUUUGAAGCUUCGUGGUGCAAGAUUCAGUGCUGCUACAAUAACUUCAUGAGCAAGGCACAAGCCACCAUGCCCAGAGACCAAGAACUGGGUGCUGACAGCUGUUCCUGGGAGGCUUUUGGAGGUGUGAUGCCUGGGUCCAGAGGUGUUAAAUUUAUAAGGAAAUUUGCCUCAACACCCCAAAUCAGAUGUUAAUGUGAAGAUUUAAGAACUGAUGGAAUGAUCUGGAAUUUGAUCCAAAGUGAUGAAUUUAUUAGAUGUGAGAGUUGGAGUGACUGAGAUGUAAAUAACCCAAGUCAGGACAAUUAGAGUCUUCUUCUGGGAUGUUUUGGAAGAAAAAAAUGGAAGAAUGGAAAUGGAAGAAAGAAGCUCUUUUCUCCAAAGAAGGGGAAUCGCAAACUGAUAUCCUGGUGAAAUUCAACCUCCUGCCUGUUCUGUUUUUUGAAAUAAUUAUAGACUCACAAAGUGAAAAAUGCAGAAAGCUGUCCUCCUGUGUACAGUGGUAUCCACACUUUCCAAAUGAUGCUUAUGGCUCCCAAGAAAAACAUCAGGUGUUCAAAUGUUUCCAUCAACUCAACACUGACCUGUUUUUACUUUCAACCUUCCCUGAAAUGACCUCCAAUUUGGGAAAUUCUUGGCCAACAGAGAGGUACCCAACAAAAACACUGCUAUGAAGCAAAAAGAGAAGAUGGCCUUUGAGCCCCUGAAAUGCAACAUGGUCUUGAGAGAAAGAAACAAGCCCUGACAUGUUUUCUGAGGGUGACAUGGGUGUCUCUAAGGAGGUGGCCCCAGGGGGAAGGGCAAAAGAGGAAGAGAAAGAAAUUCUGGGGAAUCUGACAGAGGUAAUUCUAGUUCCUGAAAAGUUCUGUGUCGUGUUUGUCUCUCCUCUGAGAAUGUUAGCUCUGAGCCAACACAAGUGUUAUGUACUUGUCCUAAAUAAGUAGCAUCCCCCACUUUGUUUUUGUUAGCCAAGAUUUAUUUGAAGAAUAUUAAAAUACAUAGGUUGUAUAUAGAAAUACCAGGAAAGAUCUUUGCCAAAAUAGAAACAAUGGCUAUCUCUAGAGGGUGGAAUUUUAGGUGGUUUUUACCUUUAUAACUUUGUGUUGUUGCUGUUGUUUUUGGCCUUUAUAAUUUUCUGUAUUUGUGG